rnacentral:rRNA from 1 species
GACGAACGCUGGCGGCGUGCUUAACACAUGCAAGUCGAACGGAAAGGCCCUGCUUUUGUGGGGUGCUCGAGUGGCGAACGGGUGAGUAACACGUGAGUAACCUGCCCUUGACUUUGGGAUAACUUCAGGAAACUGGGGCUAAUACCGGAUAGGAGCUCCUGCUGCAUGGUGGGGGUUGGAAAGUUUCGGCGGUUGGGGAUGGACUCGCGGCUUAUCAGCUUGUUGGUGUGGUAGUGGCUUACCAAGGCUUUGACGGGUAGCCGGCCUGAGAGGGUGACCGGCCACAUUGGGACUGAGAUACGGCGCAGACUCCUACGGGAGGCAGCAGUGGGGAAUAUUGCACAAUGGGCGGAAGCCUGAUGCAGCAACGCCGCGUGCGGGAUGACGGCCUUCGGGUUGUAAACCGCUUUCGACUGUGACGAAGCGUGAGUGACGGUAAUGGGUAAAGAAGCACCGGCUAACUACGUG